rnacentral:rRNA from 1 species
GAUAAACGCUGGCGGCGUGCUUAACACAUUCAAGUCGAACGGAGUAUGUUUGGAAGCUUGCUUUUGGACAUACUUAGUGGCGGACGGGUGAGUAAUGCAUGAGCAACCUGCCUUCAAGGAGGGGGAUAACACAUGGAAACGUGUGCUAAUACCGCAUAGACGUACGGACGGCAUCGUUGUACGGGAAAGGAGUAAUCCGCUUGAAGAUGGGCUCAUGUCCGAUUAGGUUGUUGGUGAGGUAACGGCUCACCAAGCCUGCGAUCGGUAGCCGGACUGAGAGGUUGAACGGCCACAUUGGAACUGAGAUACGGUCCAGACUCCUACGGGAGGCAGCAGUGGGGAAUAUUGGGCAAUGGGCGAAAGCCUGACCCAGCGACGCCGCGUGAGGGAAGAAGGUCUUCGGAUUGUAAACCUUUGUAGACAGGGACGAAGAAAUGACGGUACCUGUAAAGUAAGCCACGGCUAACUACGUG